rnacentral:tmRNA from 3 species
GGGGGCGAUCGGAAUCGACCGGGCGAAGUGAAAGACAGGUGGCGUGCCGAGGUCGCCGGUGGGCCUCGUUAAUCAACCGGUGCAAACUUAAAUGGCAACUACUCGUAUGCCAUGGCUGCCUAACUAAGCGCAGCCCGUCGCCCGGACGACGCCCGCUGGUCCGGAGCGGCGACACCAGCGGGCUGGCUUGGCGGCGCUAGCCGACCGUCGCAAAGCGAGAUAUCAGUCGGACGUAGGAGAGGCUGAAGCCUGUCGGCGGGCGUCGGCGGAUCCGAAUUCUAAUACACCGCGCUACGCACGUAGAGGCCUGUCCGUAACCGCCGCGGGACGGGGGUUCAAUUCCCCCCGCCUCCAGUU